rnacentral:piRNA from 1 species
UACCUACACAAUGAACCUUAAAAAUGAGGUAU